UUUUAUAGGCAUUUUCUAUUCAAAAGCAAGCACAGGAGGGGAAGGUAAGGCAAAAGAGUAGAAAACACUUACACCAGCUUUUAGUUAAUAAAAGAACCCUAUUAUUUAGCUUAUACUACCAAAGGAAUUUGUCUAUAUCAAAAUUCAGCAUAAUAGAGAACGAUUUACCAAACAAAUUGGGAACUGAUUAAUAUAAAAUAUUAAUAUGAAAUAUCUUUAACAAGAUCACUGAAUCUCAGUCAUUUAAAACUUCUUUGGUUUAAAAGCUUUUGUGAAAUCAAAUUAAAUAUUUCCUUCCUGUCAUUUUCCAUCCAGUGAACAUUGAAACUUUGUGAACUACCAUAUCCUCUAAGUAUUAAGCAAAGAAGUGAGCAUUCAUUGCUGUGAGCAAACUGACCACAGCAGUUGUGAAACUGAGCCCUCCUUGCUGCUACUGCACUUUAUGAAUUUGUAUAUAGCAAGAAAAUAAGGGAAAAGACAUCCUGACCACAAUUACAGUGUACUUCUCUAAAAUUCAGAUCUCUCUGAAGCAAGUAGGAGCUGUCACCCCAUUCUUGUUCAGCUGCUGUUGAUGGAUAUGAGUGCCAUUCACAAACUGUUGGGCAAAAUAUACAGCAAUAAAGAAUAUGAAACUUUUGUCAGGUGCUGCAUUUUCAUAUGAGCUGAG